CGGCGUGCUUAACACAUGCAAGUCGAACGGUAAGGCCCUUCGGGGUACACGAGUGGCGAACGGGUGAGUAACACGUGGGUGAUCUGCCCUGCACUUCGGGAUAAGCCCGGGAAACUGGGUCUAAUACCGGAUAGGACUGCGCGGUGCAUGCCGUGUGGUGGAAAGAUUUAUCGGUGCAGGAUGGGCCCGCGGCCUAUCAGCUUGUUGGUGGGGUAAUGGCCUACCAAGGCGACGACGGGUAGCCGGCCUGAGAGGGCGACCGGCCACACUGGGACUGAGACACGGCCCAGACUCCUACGGGAGGCAGCAGUGGGGAAUAUUGCACAAUGGGCGCAAGCCUGAUGCAGCGACGCCGCGUGAGGGAUGACGGCCUUCGGGUUGUAAACCUCUUUCAGCAGGGACGAAGCGUGAGUGACGGUACCUGCAGAAGAAGCACCGGCCAACUACGUGCCAGCAGCCGCGGUAAUACGUAGGGUGCAAGCGUUGUCCGGAAUUACU
rnacentral:rRNA from 1 species